GUUUUGAGGGCGUUUCUGUCCACAUCGCCAAGCUCCACAGUAUCACCAGGCCCUACAAAAAUCCAAACCCAGAGUGGCCUCCUCUCCAUUUCUCCAUGACUUCUUCUCUCAAUUUGUGGGGCUAGGGGAAGCACCCUACAACUAAGGUAAAUGGUUUCUCAACUCCCAAAAUUGCUUAGUUAAUCUAUUAAUGCAAGAAACGCUUCCCCUUCUACCGACAGGUUAAGAGGGUAUUUCCUUCACUUACUCUGCUUCUUGUUUCCAUGUUUGGGCUAUAAGGUAAACGUGGGGUGCUAAUCCCUUCCAAUUUUGUUUCCAUGUAUUAAUAUUGUUGGAGAAUAUAGUUGCAAACUAGAAGAAUAUAGUUGGAGGAAUGGGACAUGCUUUUGUAGAUGGUGUCUCAAACUCAAUUCCCUUGCUUAAACUUUUUGAGUUUAAUUUGUAGUUUAAAAUAGUGUUGAAUCCUUGGCUUUUGAGGAGUCUUAGGUUUGGACCUCACCACUUAUUUAUUCUCUUUGUAUUCAAUACAUAUGUGAGAGGAUGUCUUAAGGCAAUUAUCAUAAGUAUUAAUUGGCCUAACAUACAUUGUUAAUCUACUAAUUAAUAGCAUAAGCUGUUGGACUGUAACCAACAUUUCCUAAAGUUAGAAUUCCUAUCUUAUUUUGGUAAGAUAGAUGACUUCUUCUCUCAAUUUACAAGGCCAUGGACUCUACAACUAAGGCAAAUGGCUUCCUGAGUUCCAAAUUGCUAAGUUAAUUCAUUGACACAAGAAAAACUUCUCCUUAUACCAAUUUUAUUUCCAUGCAUUGAAAAGAAAAAAAAAAUCAACUUAGAGCGUUCUACCCCAUGGGUUUGGUGUAACUCUGUAAGGUAGUUGGAUGCAUAGCAUGCUAGUAUCAUAGAUACACCAAGCAAUUUCUUGUAUCCUUUUUCUUGGUCAUCACCUUGGUAAUUUAUGUAGAAGUGGUCAAAUGGCCACAAACUAAAAUUACCUCUCUCUCUCUCUCUCUCUCUCUCUCUCUCUCUCUCUCUCUCAUGCACAUAAAUACACAUCAUUUUUUGCUCAGUCUUCGUGAACUAUAGUUCCCUCAUUAUUAGAAUUCUGUUAAUUCCUCAUAUUAGUUUGAGAUUUUAUUUUUUUGAUUUAUUUAUUUAUUUUUAUCUUUAUAUUGGAAGAUGUAAGAUAUGUUGGAUAUUUGUAUUUUUGUAACUUCAAUAGUUCUUUUUUUUUUUUUUCUGCAGCAAGAAGAAAGCUUAAGCUUGAGGCUCAUGUUGUAUAUAUAUGCUUUACAUAGUUUGAUUGUACACCAAGUGUUUGUUUGCUUCGGUUUGUAGUCUAUGAUAUAGGUUUCAUACUUAGUUGCCUACCAUUUAUUUAUUUUUAUUGCAAUUGUUAUAAUUACCAUAUAUUCUUUCUGUUUUCUGCUUUGUAAAUUGAUUUUUGAGAUUGACAUCUCAUUUUAACAUGUACUUUUGUAAUAUGCUAUGUUUAUUACAUAUUCAGACUCAGGUCAAUGGUGUGUUCCUUUUUGCUACAAUGCGCUCUCUUUAAAGUUAGUGGAUUUGUUGCAGUCUGAACAUAACUUAACCCAUAGUACAUGUAUUGCAGAAAACACCUACAUUCCACAGUUUAUUGAAAAGAUAGCAACAUAUUAUCUGUGCAGAGCGCUUCAACAGGUCACCGUAGCUAGAAUUUUGAGCUAAGAACAUCAAACGUGCAGCCCUUAAAUGCAGCUUCUUUGUUGUGUGGUGAAUUUUUUGCUCAUAUAUACUGCUUUGCAUUUGUCUUCUAUGUGUGCCAUGGUUACUAUCACAAUAUCCAACAUGUCAUGUUCUCACUUUUGAACCUUCCUUCAUGGUUUUGAUCUGUUUUAGAGAGAAUUUGACACAAUCCAAAGUGGGGUUAGUAUUGCUUAUUGCUUUUGGCUAUUCAUAUUAUUUAUAAUAUAUAUAAAAUUUAAUUUCCAAUCACAUCAAAAACCUUGUAAUAUCCUCAAAUACACUUAUAAUCACAUUUCACAUUCUCCCUUCCUUUUCAGAUCACAUUAAUUGUU